rnacentral:rRNA from 1 species
AGUGAACGCUGGUGGUAGGCCCAACACAUGCAAGUCGAACGGCAGCACAGUAAGAGCUUGCUCUUACGGGUGGCGAGUGGCGGACGGGUGAGGAAUACAUCGGAAUCUACUUUUUCGUGGGGGAUAACGUAGGGAAACUUACGCUAAUACCGCAUACGACCUACGGGUGAAAGCAGGGGAUCUUCGGACCUUGCGCGAUUGAAUGAGCCGAUGUCGGAUUAGCUAGUUGGCGGGGUAAAGGCCCACCAAGGCGACGAUCCGUAGCUGGUCUGAGAGGAUGAUCAGCCACACUGGAACUGAGACACGGUCCAGACUCCUACGGGAGGCAGCAGUGGGGAAUAUUGGACAAUGGGCGCAAGCCUGAUCCAGCCAUACCGCGUGGGUGAAGAAGGCCUUCGGGUUGUAAAGCCCUUUUGUUGGGAAAGAAAAGCAGCAGGUUAAUACCCCGCUGUUCUGACGGUACCCAAAGAAUAAGCACCGGCUAACUUCGUG